rnacentral:rRNA from 1 species
GCUACGGCCAUAUCAGCCUGGGUACGCCCGAUCUCGUCUGAUCUUGGAAGCUAAGCAGGGUCGGGCCUGGUUAGUACUUGGAUGGGAGACCGCCUGGGAAUACCAGGUGCUGUAAGCA